rnacentral:rRNA from 1 species
GACGAACGCUUGCGGCGUGCUUAACACAUGCAAGUCGAACGGAAAGGCCCUGCUUUUGUGGGGUGCUCGAGUGGCGAACGGGUGAGUAACACGUGAGUAACCUGCCCUUGACUUUGGGAUAACUUCAGGAAACUGGGGCUAAUACCGGAUAGGAGCUCCUGCUGCAUGGUGGGGGUUGGAAAGUUUCGGCGGUUGGGGAUGGACUCGCGGCUUAUCAGCUUGUUGGUGGGGUAGUGGCUUACCAAGGCUUUGACGGGUAGCCGGCCUGAGAGGGUGACCGGCCACAUUGGGACUGAGAUACGGCCCAGACUCCUACGGGAGGCAGCAGUGGGGAAUAUUGCACAAUGGGCGGAAGCCUGAUGCAGCAACGCCGCGUGCGGGGUGACGGCCUUCGGGUUGUAAACCGCUUUCGCCUGUGACGAAGCGUGAGUGACGGUAAUGGGUAAAGAAGCACCGGCUAACUACGUGCCAGCAGCCGCGGUGAUACGUAGGGUGCGAGCGUUGUCCGGAUUUAUUGGGCGUAAAGGGCUCGUAGGUGGUUGAUCGCGUCGGAAGUGUAAUCUUGGGGCUUAACCCUGAGCGUGCUUUCGAUACGGGUUGACUUGAGGAAGGUAGGGGAGAAUGGAAUUCCUGGUGGAGCGGUGGAAUGCGCAGAUAUCAGGAGGAACACCAGUGGCGAAGGCGGUUCUCUGGGCCUUUCCUGACGCUGAGGAGCGAAAGCGUGGGGAGCGAACAGGCUUAGAUACCCUGGUAGUCCACGCUGUAAACGGUGGGUACUAGGUGUGGGGUCCAUUCCACGGGUUCCGUGCCGUAGCUAACGCUUUAAGUACCCCGCCUGGGGAGUACGGCCGCAAGGCUAAAACUCAAAGGAAUUGACGGGGCCCCGCACAAGCGGCGGAGCAUGCGGAUUAAUUCGAUGCAACGCGUAGAACCUUACCUGGGUUUGACAUGGAUCGGGAGUGCUCAGAGAUGGGUGUGCCUCUUUUGGGGUCGGUUCACAGGUGGUGCAUGGCUGUCGUCAGCUCGUGUCGUGAGAUGUUGGGUUAAGUCCCGCAACGAGCGCAACCCUUGUUCACUGUUGCCAGCACGUUAUGGUGGGGACUCAGUGGAGACCGCCGGGGUCAACUCGGAGGAAGGUGGGGAUGACGUCAAGUCAUCAUGCCCCUUAUGUCCAGGGCUUCACGCAUGCUACAAUGGCUGGUACAGAGAGUGGCGAGCCUGUGAGGGUGAGCGAAUCUCGGAAAGCCGGUCUCAGUUCGGAUUGGGGUCUGCAACUCGACCUCAUGAAGUCGGAGUCGCUAGUAAUCGCAGAUCAGCAACGCUGCGGUGAAUACGUUCCCGGGGCU